GACGAACGCUGGCGGCGUGCUUAACACAUGCAAGUCGAACGGAAAGGCCCUGCUUGCAGGGUACUCGAGUGGCGAACGGGUGAGUAACACGUGGGUGAUCUGCCCUCCACUUCGGGAUAAGCCUGGGAAACUGGGUCUAAUACCGGAUAGGAGCCAUUCUUAGUGUGAGGGUUGGAAAGUUUUUUCGGUUUGGGGUGAGCUGGCGGCCUAUCAGCUUGUUGGUGGGGUAAUGGCCUACCAAGGCGGCGACGGGUAGCCGGCCUGAGAGGGUGGACGGCCACGUUGGGGCUGAGAUUCGGCCCAGACGCCGACGGGGGGAAGCAGUGGGGAAUAGUGCACAAUGGGCGCAAGCCUGAUGCAGGGACGCCGCGGGGGGGAGGGCGGCCUUCGGGUUGUAAACUCGUUUCGCUAGGGACGAAGCUUUUUGUGACGGUACCUAGAGAAGAAGCACCGGCUAACUACGUG
rnacentral:rRNA from 1 species